ACAUUUAAAAUUGUAUCAGUGCUAGUAAAAAGCAACAAUUAAGCACAAUUUUAGGGAAAAAAAUAAAAUAAUUAAACCAAUGGACAUGAAUUUUAAAAUAAGCAGUCUUUUAAAACUUGUUUUCUUCCCUCUGCUUUUCUUUAUCCAGUUUGUCUUAACUGAGCAUCUGCUAUGCACCAGGCAUGCUGCUAGUUGCUUAGGAUACAGCGGUGGGAGAAAACAGAAUGCUGAGAGAAAAAGCUAUUAUGAAGCUUAUAGUCCAGUGGGGGAUGGCAGACAUGAAUGACAGAGUCCCACAAAUAAAUGUAUUAUUUUUACGCCUGGGAAGUUGAAUGACAUGGUGCCUUGAGAGCAAACAAUUGGGAAAUCUAAUCCACUUGGAGAAGUCAGGGAAGGUUUUCUUAAGAUGAUGACUGCUGGGCUGGGAUCUGGUGGAAGCUUGGGGGUAGGAGAUGGGGCUGGUUCUAACUUAGACCAUCUCAAUAUACUGGCCACACCUCCAACAUCAAGCAAAAAUGAAACACAGAAGAGUAAAAAUUUGUUAUCAUGUGGACAGGGGAAGAGGCAAGAAAUUUGGAUAUUCUGAACUCCUGCAGAAAGCAGCCUUUGGUCCAUCUCUUGUCCAGCCAUCUGUGUUCCACCAGGGAAAUCCCUCUAUCUGCGUUUCUGAUUUGGGUCUGAGGUAAUACGCGGCUGGCACCGAGUUCUCAUCCCGGCAAUACCACUCUUCCAGUAACUUGGUGUCCAG